CAGGGAGACAACAAAAUGUUUAUAUUAUUAUUUUGUCACCUUAGGUCGAUCGGUAUCUCACGUUCUUAAUUUGUUAAGAAUUUCAUUUCCUAAGUUUUUCUAGGUCACACCCAUUAUUUUUCCUGGGCCAUUAGCUCAGGUGGUUAGAGCGCACCCCUGAUAAGGGUGAGGUCCCUGGUUCAAGUCCAGGAUGGCCCAUAUCUCUAUGUUGGGGGUAUAGCUCAGUUGGUAGAGCGCCUGCUUUGCAAGCAGGAUGUCAGCGGUUCGAGUCCGCUUACCUCCACUGAUUACCACCUCUUCCAUAAUCCGUAGAAAGGAAAUGUUUUGAGUUGUGAUCAUUAUUCUGAACGAAUCUAGCUUCCUAAUGAAAUCAUUAAGAUGCUGGACUCAUUGAAUUAAUUUCAUUGUUUUCAGAGAACCUUGACAACUGCAUAGAUUAUUUUUAAAGACAAUAAGCAUCUUUAAUGAUGCAGAUUUAUUAUUUGUGCGAAUGCAUUAAUAACAAUUCUAUUAAGCUGAUGCUUCAAUUUUUGAAGUUAUU
rnacentral:tRNA from 1 species